CGGGGUGUAGCGCAGUUUGGCAGCGCGCUUCGUUCGGGACGAAGAGGCCGGAGGUUCAAAUCCUCUCACCCCGACC
rnacentral:tRNA from 1 species